rnacentral:rRNA from 1 species
AUUCUGACUGUGCGAAGGUAGCAUAAUAAAUUGUCUUUUAAAUGGAGGCUUGAAUGAAAGGUUGGACAAAGUAUCAUCUGUUUCUUAAAUAUUUAUUGAAUUUGACUUUCAAGUGAAAAGGCUUGAAUAAAUUAAAAAGACGAUAAGACCCUAUAAAUCUUUACAAUAAACAUGUUCUAUAUUUUAAUUUAUAAGUGUAUAAAAUAUUAAAUUUGUAUUUGUUUCGCUGGGGCGGCGUGGAUAUAUUAAUAAACUGUCUAUGUGUUAAAUCCAAUAAUUAUUGAUUAGUGAGAUUGAUCCUUAAAUAGAUUAAAAGAUUAAGAUACUUUAGGGAUAACAGCGUUAUUUUUUUUGAGAGUUCUUAUCGAAGAAAAAGUUUGCGACCUCGAUGUUGAAUUAAAGUAUCUUUAUGGUGCAGCCGCUAUAAGAGAGAGUCUGUUCGACUUUUAAUACUUUACAUGA